GAAGAAAACUUUUCAAAAAGAGUAUCACUAAUGUGUCUAUGAUCCAGCAAUCCCACUCAUGGCCCUAUAUCUGGACAAAUUGUUCAUUCAAAAAGAUCCACGCCCCCGUAUGUUCAUAACAGCACUGGUCACAAUAGUCAAGACAUGAAGCAACCUGAAUGUCCAUUGACAGAUGAAUGGAUUAAGAUGUGGUACCUAUGUACAAUGGAAUACUAUUCAGCCAUAAAAGGGCAAAAUAACCCCAUUUGCAGCAACAUGGAUGCAACUAGAGAUUCUCAUACUAAAUGAAGUAAGUCAGAAAGAGAAAGACAAAUACAAUAUGAUAUCACUUAUAUGUGGAAUCUAAAAUAUGGCACAAAUGAACCUAUCUACAGAACAGAAAUAGACUUACAGACACAGGGAACUGACUCGUGAUUGCUAAGGGAUGGAGGAGGGAGUGGGAUGGACAGGGUGUUUGGAGUUGGUAGAUGCAAACUAUUACAUUUAGAUUGGAUAAGCAAUGAGUUCCCUGUGCUGUAAAGCAGGACCUCAUGGCUUAUCCAUUCUAAAUGGAAUAGUUUGCAUCCAGCAACCCUGAUCUCUGUGCCACUUCUGUAUUCACCACCAGGUUUCCUCAUAAGGCUAGAGUAACUUAUAAGACUUCAAAGAAAGAUAGGUGCUUCUAAAAGGAAUUUAAGGCAGAAGGAGAGCUUUUAAAAAGAAAACUGCUUAUAUCUUUCCUCUAGUCUAAGCAAAAAUCACUUAAGAAUUUAAACCUUCACUAUGACUUACCUAUGGCUAUCCUCAUUUCCUAAAUUUACUCAAAAGCAGAAAGCUCUUCUUUAUCUUCUCAUUUACUUUAUUAUCAAUAAUUAUUUAUCAGGUUCUAGGUCAGUUAGUGUUCCACAUCCUAGCAGACAGCCAUGAACCUCUCUCUCCAUUUGAGAAACCAUGCCUCAUAGUCUAUCAGAAGGCCCCAAGGAUGUUUUUCCAUUUGAUGGAAGUCAGUUUAAUGGUUACCUCAUCUAAAGACUCCCUGGUCUAAAGGCCUCCAAAAACACCAGAGGUGUUCAAGGACACAGGUCUUCAAGGACAAUUCAGAGCUGCAUGUGUGUUGGAAAUGCACAGGCAUCCAGAGAGUAGGUGAUGUGAGUUGUAGGCAUAAAUGUUACAGACUUCUGAGGGCCUAGGGAGGAAUACACACACACACAAAUAUGUUCCCCUUCCCCAAGAACAGAAGUUAAUCCUCAGAGAUACUGCAGCCAACCCACUGAAGAAGGAUCAUACCCCUAACUUCCUUCUUUCUCUAUCUGCACAUUGUUUCUCUCAUAAAGGAGACUGAGCUUCAUGUUUAUUCUGGAGGGGGGUGUUCAAGAGUUGAGGCCUAAUUCUUGAUGACACUUACCCAAAGAAACAUACAGUCAAAUGUCUAAAAUUUUAGAUCAAAAAAAUCCUUUCAGGAGUUCCCGUCAUGGCGCAGUGGUUAACAAAUCUGACUAGGAACCAUGAGGUUGCGGGUUUGGUCCUUGCCCUUGCUCAGUGGGUUAACGAUCCGGCGUUGCCGUGAGCUGUGGUGUAGGUUGCAGACGCGGCUCGGAUCCCGCGUUGCUGUGGCUCUGGCGUAGGCCGGUGGCUACAGCUCCUAUUCAACCCCUAGCCUGGGAACCUCCAUAUGCCAUGGGAGCGGCCCAAGAAAUAGCAAAAAAAAAAAAAAAAAAAAAAAA
ensembl:lncRNA